CGCUGCUUCUGAAACUGACCCGUCUCGUCUGGCUUUAAGGGCUAGGGGAAGAAGGAGGAGGGUGAGGGAGGGGAAGACGAACGAUAGAUGUUUAGGGGUUUGGGGGUUACGAGAAGUCUGUUCACUUAGCUUACACGAUCUAGGUCCUGGUGCGUUCUCUCUCCUGGUCGGUCGUGAGCCCCUUCCAUCCUCCUCCUCCGUCGGUACCGCCUCGACCGCCACCCCGACCGGUUCAGCCACCACCGCCCCUGCGACUCGUUCCGCGUGCGCCGCCACGUCCUCCUCCGGUUCGACGCGGAGUCGCGCGCGGCGCUGGAGCAGAAGUAGUGCCCCCUCAAGCUCUACUACGUCAGCAAAGAGUUGCACCGGUUGCGCCUCGCGCAGCUCUUGGGCCACCACGCGUGGACCCACGCGGUCUAGGCGCUCGACCGGAUGCUGCACCUCCUGACGUAGCUCGAGCAGCAGGUGGAGCUGUUCCCGUCCUGGUCGAAGACCAAGGCGGAGGCGGCCGAGACGCAGGGGACCCGCGCGGGCGGCGCGGGCGGGCGCGACCUGGUCCGCCACCUGCUCUAGCUCGUCGAGUUCCGGUCUCAGCGGCUGCAGUCGUGGUCCUUGCGCGCGAUGUCGGAGUAGUCGCUGUGGCCCAGGUUCGGGCAGGGCGUCGUCGUCGACUGCCGGCGGCGACGGCGGCCGCUGUGCCACCGGCGCAGGUUGUACGAGCGGCUCCGUUCCAUACGGCGGUACUCUCUCGUCCAGGAGCCGCCGCUAGAGUGGGUCGACGAGUGGUUUCUUCGGCCACUGCUGGUACCAUCGGAAGUCGAAGUACACCAGAGUCACACCCCCAGUCGGCCACUGGUGCCACGGUGUAGGUAGUAGUGGUUCCGGAUGUCACUGGGUCUCUAGACGUCUUUGAAGUGGGCGGCGCGGACCCACUUCGAGUACGUAGGAAAGUCAGGCGUGCUGAAGCAGGCCUCGAACUACGAAGUCAAGACGCGUCUUCUUCUCGUUGUUCUUCCUCGUCGAUAUCCAUACCUACAGGAUUGUUACUACGUCCGGUGGGUCCUCCUGGAGAAGGACCUUAAGGUCUUCCACCACUGUCUCUUCUCAAUGGAGCAGCAGAACCUUCCGGACAGUUUGUACCGCCUGACCGUACGAAACUCCUUCAAGGAAAACCUGUCCUCCUUCCCGUCGACCUAGUAGCACAGCUGCGUCGUUGGGCUUCAUCGUUCGAGCACGUAGCCCGUGGGCAUGGUCUAUGACCUCGAGUUUGUCAAGAGCGUACUCGUGAGACAAACACGGGAGAAGUUCUUCCAUUUCCCAAGACUAGCGCUACCUCUAUUUCCGUUCUUUGGUUACCACCUUCUAAGAGGGGAGUAACCUGCACUCAGCGAUGACUUAGUUGAAGCAGUCAUAGGUCGUUUUCGUGCAUAUUUGAGAUCCGUCCACUACAGACACACCCCUUAUCGACCGCAACCCUUUAGUCGAGAGCACUUUUUCAACAUGCUACUAUGUUACGUGCUGUGCUUGGAUAAACGUUUCAUGGUAACCCACCUAUAUAGAGUAGGUAAGUUAAAUUUCCUGAAGGUUUCCUUGAAUGGAGGCCUAAAAGUAAAACUCCUUAGCCCAACCGAGUAACAAUAACUAUUACAGGUCAGGUUCUUCCUUACCCUGAAAUAUGUUUGAAGGAACCAUUAUGGAUUUAGAAGAUUCUCGCAACAAUAACAGUAGUGUUGACUUCGUUCGUAACGGCGUAUAACACGUUUAUCGCUUCUCGAACACAAAUUACAGUUUCCAGACCUUCGACGACGUCGGAGUUGAGAGAAGCCUUUCCAUAUGUCCCUUUUUAGUAAUCUGUGUUCUCGAGAUGUUGUAUGAGUUCAUCUUCUUGAAUGAAACUUCACACCUCCAGAAGGGUUUCACUAUCAACGAUAUCGACCGCAUAACCGGUUUGUUUGCCAGUGUUCCUACCUAUGACACCAACGAAACUUAGUCUCUAAAUACGUGGUGGACCUCUGGCUCGGCCUAAUACUAUCAGAUACACUAGAUAAACCAACCUACGUAAGCAUAAAGGCCUGAACGGGACUAAGUUAGUUCGGUACAUAGAAGAUGGACAGCUAGAAAGGAGUUCUGGCGGAGUAAGCCGCUUCCGCUAAUCAUUCCUCCACCUAACGUCUCCCUAUGAGAUCCCUACCGUUGUUACUUAGACGUCUCCUCUUACCCCUCUCCGUCAAGAGGCUCGAGGAACUAGACUCGUAUUAGGUCGUCCACGGUUUGAAUCAGUGUUUGGGUAACUUACGGUGCUCUUACCGCGACAACACAGUCCAGUCACCAAAAAAGGUACUCAUGUAGUAGGGUCCCGCUUUUCUUCUGCUGGAAUACAAACUCGACCCCCGAUUAACACGGCAUUGGUGUGUUGCGUGUCCCGCAGUGGAAUGGUAUAACGUACUGACCUUCUCUCUGUUUUAACACAAACUCUCGUACCUAAAGAGUGCCGAUUCUAGUGACUGCCACAAACCGUUCACCCUUAGUAAGAAGUACAGACUUUCAUACUACGAAGAAGCCCAUGAACUAGAUCUCCUACGUAGUCCACACCUCAUACUCCUAGAACUCUUGUAUAAUUUUACCAACGCAGCAGAGUUCAAGGAGAGUGAUGCUCCUGCCGCACUCUAUAUGGUAAAUGGUCUAUUAUACCUAGUAGACUCCGUUGACGUCUGAAACCUACAGUCCUCGUGGAGACAUGAGUGGAACGGUCUCUUGUAGUGGUUCAACGUCUUCGAUGUCAUGUAUGCACGCCCGCGGUGACUGGGUCGACGUAGUCGUGGUGGGCGAGGUAGGACGACCAAGAAGUUUGGAGCGGCAUAUCAACCACAAUUCCACGGAUCUCCAUAACCCUUUGACUGCCGCAACGUGUGCGAACCACAACAGUUGUAACCAUGAAGACCACCCUUCCGGUACCGCUUUCGGGACUUCUUCGAGUGGGUCAACGCGUUCGAACCUCACAGGCCGCAAUUGUCCUUCUUGUCGUUCCUAUAAAAGAGACGUUAGUUCCCAGUACAAGUAGACCUUAGGAACAGACAGGUCGAACUGUUCCUGUUGGUUCCGACAACGAACCUACUAGUCUAUAGGAACGGGACCUUCUUAGAUGCCUCAGAAUUUAACAUACCCGAAGUUCUAUCCAACGGCAAUGGUUCACCGGAACUUAUAGUCGUUCAUAACUCACUGGUCAAAUCGUUUGAGUGCUUCUACCUACACCUCUACCUGUGAAAUUUACUUGUUCUGUAAUUUAAGGAACCACUCCGUGGCUUUGAUAUAUAAGAAGCGGAGGCAUAGUUCCUCGGGUUACCGGGGUCGGAUUUAAAAUAACAAUUCUAUCUGCGUACGCGCAACCGGCAGAUGUUUUUCCAGUUCUAGGAGCUCUAACCAACGUCGAGAUCGAGUAAUAGUCACCUUAAACCUAGUCUCUGCUACUUUUUAGAACUCGACGAGUUCGAACUGACAAGGUCACCCUGCUGUAUGCGAGAACUACCGAACCUAAAAGAUAGACUUGAGUUCCUUCAGAACGAAUAACCAUCGUUACUACGAUGUAAGUUCCGACUUGACCGCCUGUUUGAACCGUUUGUGGGUUUCUUUGGACAGAACUUCUACCUCCCUAAUGGUGAAGGCAGAACUUCCCGAUAAAAAAAAAAGACUAACAAGCAACCUAAGUUAAGAUGGGCGGUGAUCGGGUAAGUUCAGAAACGUUUUGGACCAACCAAAAACAUUGUGAUACAUGUGCAUAAACCAGAAAAUAGCCAAGGUAUGUACACAAGACAGUUUUUACAUGAUGUGAGAUGUUGUGUACAAACACUAAACAAAACAAAAGUUGAACAUUUAUGAAAAUAAAAUAACGGGAUACAAUUACUUGCUUAGUUAUUCUCGUGGAUAAAGUCUCC
rnacentral:rRNA from 1 species